rnacentral:rRNA from 1 species
CCUACGGGAGGCAGCAGUAGGGAAUCUUCCACAAUGGACGAAAGUCUGAUGGAGCAACGCCGCGUGAGUGAAGAAGGGUUUCGGCUCGUAAAGCUCUGUUGGUAGUGAAGAAAGAUAGAGGUAGUAACUGGCCUUUAUUUGACGGUAAUUACUUAGAAAGUCACGGCUAACUACGUGCCAGCAGCCGCGGUAAUACGUAGGUGGCAAGCGUUGUCCGGAUUUAUUGGGCGUAAAGCGAGUGCAGGCGGUUCAAUAAGUCUGAUGUGAAAGCCUUCGGCUCAACCGGAGAAUUGCAUCAGAAACUGUUGGACUUGAGGGCAGAAGGGGAGAGUGGAACUCCAAGUGUAGCGGGGGAAUGCGUAGAUAUAUGGAAGAACACCAGUGGCGAAGGCGGCUCUCUGGUCUGCAACUGACGCUGAGGCUCGAAAGCAUGGGUAGCGAACAGGAUUAGAUACCCGAGUAGUC